rnacentral:rRNA from 1 species
UACGAAGGGGGCUAGCGUUGUUCGGAAUUACUGGGCGUAAAGCGCACGUAGGCGGAUACUUAAGUCAGGGGUGAAAUCCCGGGGCUCAACCUCGGAACUGCCUUUGAUACUGCAAAUCUCGAGUCCGGAAGAGGUGAGUGGAAUUCCUAGUGUAGAGGUGAAAUUCGUAGAUAUUAGGAAGAACACCAGUGGCGAAGGCGGCUCACUGGUCCGGUACUGACGCUGAGGUGCGAAAGCGUGGGGAGCAAACAGG